CCUAAAUAAAAAAUGAAGGGACUGAUCAAGAUUGCUUCCCCUAUAUUAUUAUUUAUAAAGCGCAAACAAGUUCCGUAGUGCUGCAAAAUGCGUUGACUAACAGACAUGUAUUUGUAACCAGACGAGUUGAACACACCGGAACAGAGGGUUUGAGGGCCUUGCUUAAUGAGCCUAUAUUCUAGAGCUAGUGGGGUAUUGUGACACAAAAGGUAAGGGUAGGGUAGAAAAAUGAGUUGCUAGAAUAGUAUUCACCUGGAGCUUAGUGGGUGUUUUUUAGUUUUUUAAUGACUGUUGCAGGAGUGGAAUCGGUGCAGGAAGUUAAUGCUGUUAACAGUUUAUUUGAUAUGAUGUCCUUAAGAAGUGGGUUUUUAGUGAUUUUUUGAAGGAAUGGAGACUUGGAGCCUAACUGGGUAGAGAAGGGAGUUCCAUGGGAACGGUGCCGCCUUAGAGAAGUCGUAAAGGUG